rnacentral:rRNA from 1 species
UACGUAGGGUGCAAGCGUUGUCCGGAAUUAUUGGGCGUAAAGAGCUCGUAGGCGGCUUGUCGCGUCUGCUGUGAAAACCCGAGGCUCAACCUCGGGCCUGCAGUGGGUACGGGCAAGCUAGAGUGCGGUAGGGGAGAUUGGAAUUCCUGGUGUAGCGGUGGAAUGCGCAGAUAUCAGGAGGAACACCGAUGGCGAAGGCGGCAUCCUGGACCGGCAUUGACGCUGAGGCGCGAAAGCCAGGGGAGCAAACGGG